UUCCAUGUGCUCUAUUUCAUAUAUAUAUCAAAAUUAACAAAUAUCACAAUUAUAUUUUACCACAUUUCCGUUGCUGCACAUGCUUUUUAUGUUUCUUUUUAAAAAAAAAUUUCAGACAAGUUUCCUAUACAUUUACAAAAAUGUUACAAUAAAAAUACAAUAUACAAUAAUUGAUAAAUUGAACAGUUUAACAAAUAUCAACUAAUUUAAAUACUGAGACAGAGAAAAAAAGAUGAAUACAACAAAAAUCAAGGGGAGAUAAUCUAAUAUAAUACCUCAGUCCUGUAGUUUGUCUUUUUGUUUAGGAACAAGUUUCAGCGAGAUUCCUUUUUGCCCCAAGAACAUUAAUUUUUGCUGAAGACUAAAGGGGGUCUCAUUGGGGGGUUCCGAUCCCGGAUCCCGCUUACUGUUUUGUCAGAUUCCCGUAUCCCGCUUACACUAUGUACCCAAGCAAUUCUCAUUUUUUUGUCAUUUCCCGGGUCCCGCUAGACCUCAUUUCACGUUUUCACGACACAAUAAUUUGACUUUCCCGUGUCCCGCUCACCAAAAAUCGGCAAUCCCGCGUCACGCUUAGACCCCAAUGAGACCCACAAUAAAGCUUACACUGCUACAACAAAACAAUUUCAAAUUUAAUAUACAGUAAAGGAUACUGUAAAUUUUGAAACUUUUGCAAUGUUU
rnacentral:lncRNA from 1 species